UUCUUUAAAGUUAAAGAUUUUGGCGGUAUUUUAGUCUAUUCAAAGUAACCUGUUUUUUAAUUGAUAGUCAACGAUUAUUUUAACUUAAAUUUUUAAUUUAUAUAUCGUCGUUUAUAUAAAUUUUAUUAUAUAAUUUUUUCAGAUCAAGGUGUAGUUUAUAAUUAAGUUAAAAUGGGUUACAUUAAAAAUUUUACAUGAUUGAGUUCUAACCGGAGGCUCUAAAAUAUGUACAUAUCGCCCGUCGCUUUCGUUUUAAAAUGGAAUAAGUCGUAACAAAGUAGGCUUAUUGGAAAAUGAGCCUAGAAUACAAAUUAGAGCUUGAGAAGCAUUUUAUUUACAUUAAAGAAAUAACUGAAAGUUCAGUUUAAUUUGAAAUUAUUUUGUUAUUUAACCUGUUUUUUUUGUUGUUUUAAUUUAAAUAUAAUUUUUUUUAUUAUUUUUAAGAAAUGAUUUAAUUAUAGAAUAUUGUAUAGUAAUAGAUUUAUUUAAAUUAUAAUAAAGAAGGUUUUAUUUAUUGUACCUUGUGUAUCAGGGUUUAUUAAUUUAUAUUUCUCGAAUUUUAAAGGGCAAAUUUUAUUGUUAAAUAAAUAUUUAUAAUUAUUAAUUUGAAAUGAAAUGUUAUUCGUUUUUUAAUAUAUCUAGUUUUUUCAGAAAAAAAUUAAAUUUUAUUAUUAGUUAUUGUUAUUAUAGGGGAUAAGCUUUUAAUUAAAUUUUUAUAAGUUAAAAAUUAUUUAAAAUUUAUAGGAUUAGAAUUUUCUUUUAAUAUAGGAUGUUAUAAUUAGAGGCUUUAAUUUUUAUAUGAAAAUUUUAUUUUUAAUUUUGUAUUUUAAGAAAUAAUGAUAAAAUUAGUAAGGUUAUAAUAAGGAAUUCGGCAAAUAUUAUUUUCACCUGUUUAAUAAAAACAUGUCUUUUUGAUUAUAAUUUAAAGUCUUGCCUGCCCAAUGAUUAAAUGGCCGCAGUAUUUUGACUGUGCGAAGGUAGCAUAAUAAUUAGUUUUUUAAUUGUAAGCUGGUAUGAAGGGUUUAAUGAAAAAUAAGCUGUCUCUAGAAUUUUAAUUUUAAGCUAUAAA
rnacentral:rRNA from 1 species